rnacentral:rRNA from 1 species
CGAACGCUGGCGGCAGGCCUAAUACAUGCAAGUCGAACGGCUCUUCGGAGCAGUGGCGGACGGGUGAGUAACGCGUGGGAAUGUGCCCUUUGGUACGGAACAACACAGGGAAACUUGUGCUAAUACCGUAUGUGCCCUUCGGGGGAAAGAUUUAUCGCCAUUGGAGCAGCCCGCGUUGGAUUAGGUAGUUGGUGAGGUAAAGGCUCACCAAGCCUACGAUCCAUAGCUGGUCUGAGAGGAUGACCAGCCACACUGGGACUGAGACACGGCCCAGACUCCUACGGGAGGCAGCAGUAGGGAAUCUUGCGCAAUGGGCGAAAGCCUGACGCAGCCAUGCCGCGUGUAUGAUGAAGGUCUUAGGAUUGUAAAAUACUUUCACCGGGGAAGAUAAUGACGGUACCCGGAGAAGAAGCCCCGGCUAACUUCGUGCCAGCCGCCGCAGUAAAAC